AACGAACGCUGGCGGCAGGCUGAACACAUGCAAGUCGAACGCAUCCUUCGGGGUGAGUGGCAGACGGGUGAGUAACGCGUGGGAACGUGCCCUUCAGUUCGGGAUAACCCAGGGAAACUUGGGCUAAUACCGGAUACGUGCGAGAGCAGAAAGAUUUAUCGCUGAAGGAUCGGCCCGCGUCUGAUUAGCUAGUUGGUGGGGUAAUGGCCCACCAAGGCGACGAUCAGUAGCUGGUCUGAGAGGAUGAUCAGCCACAUUGGCACUGAGACACGGCCCAAACUCCUACGGGAGGCAGCAGUGGGGAAUAUUGGACAAUGGGCGCAAGCCUGAUCCAGCCAUGCCGCGUGAGUGAUGAAGGCCUUAGGGUUGUAAAGCUCUUUCGUCCGGGACGAUAAUGACGGUACCGGAAGAAGAAGCCCCGGCUAACUUCGUGCCAGCCGCCGCAGUAA
rnacentral:rRNA from 1 species